rnacentral:rRNA from 1 species
AUUGAACGCUGGCGGCAUGCCUUACACAUGCAAGUCGAACGGCAGCACGGGUGCUUGCACCUGGUGGCGAGUGGCGAACGGGUGAGUAAUACAUCGGAACAUGUCCUGUAGUGGGGUAUAGCCCGGCGAAAGCCGGAUUAAUACCGCAUACGAUCCACGGAUGAAAGCGGGGGACCUUCGGGCCUCGCGCUAUAGGGUUGGCCGAUGGCUGAUUAGCUAGUUGGUGGGGUAAAGGCCUACCAAGGCGACGAUCAGUAGCUGGUCUGAGAGGACGACCAGCCACACUGGGACUGAGACACGGCCCAGACUCCUACGGGAGGCAGCAGUGGGGAAUUUUGGACAAUGGGCGAAAGCCUGAUCCAGCAAUGCCGCGUGUGUGAAGAAGGCCUUCGGGUUGUAAAGCACUUUUGUCCGGAAAGAAAUCCUUGACUCUAAUACAGUCGGGGGAUGACGGUACCGGAAGAAUAAGCACCGGCUAACUACGUG